AUUGGUCACAAGUUCCCUCGAUGCAUUAGAGAAGAAUUGAUUAUCAUAAUGGAUUCCAUAGGACAAUGGCUUUUUCAAAAAGUUUACAUUUUAAAGUAUAUGGUUCUUGGAUUCCCUGAUUCAGAAGCUCUCCCACCCCCGUGGUCCAUGAAGUCACCUUUUUCAACAUGGAAUUUUUACAGUAAAAUAUCAUUUGCAGCCUCUAUUUUCUGCUUCAUUAUUUUUCUUUCCCUGCGUUCUUGGAAGCAGCUCGAUGGUGACAUGAAGAUCAUUUCUAGAAGAACCUCGGCCACCAGGUUAGAAGUCCGCACAGCCCUACACCACCGUCUGCUGGACUCUUGUCUACACGCCUUGUAUGGUCUCCUAGUGCUCUCCUUGUUUGUCUCAAUCCCAUGGGAAUGGGUGCGUCUCUACCAGAUAGAAGUAGCCAAGAAGACAACUAUCCUUUCUGAG